AACGAACGCUGGCGGCAGGCCUAACACAUGCAAGUCGAACGCUCCGCAAGGGGAGUGGCAGACGGGUGAGUAACACGUGGGAAUCUUCCUAUUGGUACGGAAUAGCUCAGGGAAACUUGGGGUAAUACCGUAUACGCCCUUCGGGGGAAAGAUUUAUCGCCGAUAGAUGAGCCCGCGUCUGAUUAGCUAGUUGGUGAGGUAAUGGCUCACCAAGGCGACGAUCAGUAGCUGGUCUGAGAGGAUGACCAGCCACACUGGGACUGAGACACGGCCCAGACUUCUACGGGAGGCAGCAGUGGGGAAUAUUGGACAAUGGGCGCAAGCCUGAUCCAGCCAUGCCGCGUGAGUGACGAAGGUCUUCGGAUUGUAAAGCUCUUUUGGCGGGGACGAUAAUGACGGUACCCGCAGAAUAAGCCCCGGCUAACUUCGUGCCAGCCGCCGCGGUAACAC
rnacentral:rRNA from 1 species